UAGGGAAUCUUCCACAAUGGACGCAAGUCUGAUGGAGCAACGCCGCGUGAGUGAAGAAGGCUUUCGGGUCGUAAAACUCUGUUAUUGAAGAAGAACGUGUGUGACAGUAACUGGUCAUGCAGUGACGGUAUUCAAUCAGAAAGUCACGGCUAACUACGUGCCAGCAGCCGCGGUAAUACGUAGGUGGCAAGCGUUGUCCGGAUUUAUUGGGCGUAAAGCGAGUGCAGGCGGUCUUUUAAGUCUGAUGUGAAAGCCUUCGGCUUAACCGAAGAAGGGCAUCGGAAACUGGGAGACUUGAGUGCAGAAGAGGAGAGUGGAACUCCAUGUGUAGCGGUGAAAUGCGUAGAUAUAUGGAAGAACACCAGUGGCGAAGGCGGCUCUCUGGUCUGUAACUGACGCUGAGGCUCGAAAAGCGUGGGGUAGCAAAACAGGAUUA
rnacentral:rRNA from 1 species